UACAGAGGUGGCAAGCGUUGUUCGGAAUUACUGGGCGUAAAGGGCGCGUAGGCGGUUCGUUAAGUCCUGUGUGAAAUCCCCCGGCUCAACUGGGGAACUGCACAGGAAACUAGCGGGCUUGAGUUCGGGAGAGGGAAGCGGAAUUCCGGGUGUAGCGGUGAAAUGCGUAGAUAUCCGGAAGAACACCGGUGGCGAAGGCGGCUUCCUGGACCGACACUGACGCUGAGGCGCGAAAGCUAGGGGAGCAAACGGG
rnacentral:rRNA from 1 species